rnacentral:rRNA from 1 species
GCUAAACGCGAAGAACCUUACCAAGGCUUGACAUACACCGGAAACGGCCAGAGAUGGUCGCCCCGCAAGGUCGGUGUACAGGUGGUGCAUGGUUGUCGUCAGCUCGUGUCGUGAGAUGUUGGGUUAAGUCCCGCAACGAGCGCAACCCUCGUUCUAUGUUGCCAGCACGUAAUGGUGGGAACUCAUGGGAUACUGCCGGGGUCAACUCGGAGGAAGGUGGGGAUGACGUCAAAUCAUCAUGCCCCUUAUGUCUUGGGCUUCACGCAUGCUACAAUGGCCGGUACAAAGGGCUGCAAUACCGUGAGGUGGAGCGAAUCCCAAAAAGCCGGUCCCAGUUCGGAUUGAGGUCUGCAACUCGACCUCAUGAAGUCGGAGUCGCUAGUAAUCGCAGAUCAGCAACGCUGCGGUGAAUACGUUCCCGGGUCUUGUACACACCG